rnacentral:rRNA from 1 species
GGGUCAGUAGGUUGGUUGUGCCACCGGUACGUACUGGUCUCACUGAUUCCUCCUUCCUGAAGAACCGUAAUGCCAUUAAUUUGGUGUUGCGGGGAAACAGGACUGUUACUUUGAAAAAAUUAGAGUGUUUAAAGCAAGCUAACGCUUGAAUACAUUAGCAUGUAAUAAUGAAAUAGGACGAUAGAUCCUAUUUUGUUGGUUUCUAGGAUUGACUUA